rnacentral:rRNA from 1 species
CACCAGCGCCACGAGUGGCCAUCGCGAUUAUUGGGCCUAAAGCGUCCGUAGUCGGUUCUGUGCAUCUUCUGUGAAAUCGUUGCGCUUAACGUAACGGCACGCGGGAGACACGACAGAGCUUGAGAGCGGGAGGCGUGAAGGGUACUCCGGGGGGACCGGUAAAAUGGUAUAAUCCCCGGAAGACCACCUGUGGCGAAGGCGCUUCACGAGAACGCAUCUGACGAUGAGGGACGAAAGCCAGGGGAGCGAACCGG